rnacentral:snRNA from 1 species
GUGCUUAGCUGGCAAGCGCAAGGGCUUGAGUUCAAUCUCCGGUUCUGCCAAAAGAAAAAAAAAGAUGGAGGUUUCCCUAGGGUGAGGCUUGUCUGUUGCACUCUGAUAUGCUGAUUUUUGUGAUUUCCUCAAAGGUGGGAAACUCAACUGUGUAAUUUGUAGUAGUGGGGGACUAUGUUCAUGCUUU